rfam:Virgibacillus sp. SK37, complete genome.
AAAAAGAAAAACCUGCAGAAAUAUUUCUGCAGGUCCCUUUGUUUUCCUUUUAGAAAACAAAAAGGCAAAGGGAGAGGAGAAACCGAAGAAGAUCUUAUGGGGAAGUGUAAGUCUUCUUCGAGU